CUCGUAGGCGGUUCGUCGCGUCCGGUGUGAAAGUCCAUCGCUUAACGGUGGAUCCGCGCCGGGUACGGGCGGGCUUGAGUGCGGUAGGGGAGACUGGAAUUCCCGGUGUAACGGUGGAAUGUGUAGAUAUAUGGAGGAACACCGGUGGCGAAAGCGGCUCUCUGGUCUGUAACUGACACUGAGGCUCGAAAGCGUGGGGAGCAAACA
rnacentral:rRNA from 1 species